GCCGUUAACCUAGGGAUACACAAUCAAACAAUAUUACUGGAAAUAUAAGAUUAAAACCUGUCUUGCUAACUGUGCUAGUUCACUACCAAGAUAAAAGCAUGGCGACAGAUUGAAAACGUCAUCAUGCUAACCGGACGUGGCUAGUUGAUGUUGAUGGCUAACGUUAGCCAGUUAGCAUUUUGUGUAAACACAGUAGAAAACUGACAUUUGACAACAAACGAGACGGGUUACCGACACACACCUGGUGGUCUAGGUGGCUCUGGGUCUGGCCUUGGGUCUGGCUCGGCAGGGUAAAAUCGGUGAAGUCGUAUUCAGAGCCCUGAGUGUCUGCUCCCAGCAGCUCUGCUUCCUCGGUGUCCAGGAAGGAGUAUUUUUAAAAUAAAUAAACCACACGCGGCCGCUGUCCAAGAAUUAUGCCGAAAGCGAGGAAAAGUGUGGAUGACAGAGUGACAAACACUGGCGGAAGUAAUUCGGAGGAGACGAGGGAAGGAAAGGAGGCCAGAGGACACGAGCGAAGUGAAUUGGAACGUCGUAUUGACGUCAUUACAGCCCUCUAUUUAAAAACUCAGACUAAGUUUAUUCAUCAAGGUCAGUUCUUAGAAGUCACCUGCCCUCUAUAUUGUGACGAAAAUAAACACUGCACUUGCUCUGAAUUAUUUCAUUCCAAUAAA